rnacentral:rRNA from 1 species
UAGGGAAUCUUCGGCAAUGGACGGAAGCUUGACCGAGCAACGCCACGUGAGUGAAGAAGGUUUUCGGAUCGUAAAGCUCUGUCGUAAGAGAAGAACGAGUGUGAGAGUGGAAAGUUCACACUGUGACGGUAUCUUACCAGAAAGGGACGGCUAACUACGUGCCAGCAGCCGCGGUAAUACGUAGGUCCCGAGCGUUGUCCGGAUUUAUUGGGCGUAAAGCGAGCGCAGGCGGUUAGAUAAGUCUGAAGUUAAAGGCUGUGGCUUAACCAUANUAGGCUUUGGAAACUGUUUAACUUGAGUGCAAGAGGGGAGAGUGGAAUUCCAUGUGUAGCGGUGAAAUGCGUAGAUAUAUGGAGGAACACCGGUGGCGAAAGCGGCUCUCUGGCUUGUAACUGACGCUGAGGCUCGAAAGCGUGGGGAGCAAACAGGAUUAGAUACCCUGGUAGUCCACGCUGUAAACGAUGAGUGCUAGGUGUUAGACCCUUUCCGGGGUUUAGUGCCGUAGCUAACGCAUUAAGCACUCCGCCUGGGGAGUACGACCGCAAGUUG